UACGAAGGUGGCAAGCGUUACUCGGAAUUACUAGGCGUAAAGGGCAGGUAGGUGGUUUGAUAAGUCUGUUGUGAAAGCUCCCGGCUUAACUGGGAGAGGUCAACAGAUACUGUCAGGCUUGAGUAUGGGAGAGGGUACUGGAAUUCCUGGUGUAGCGGUGAAAUGCGCAGAGAUCAGGAGGAACACCGAUGGCGAAAGCAGGUACCUGGACCAUUACUGACACUCAGCUGCGAAAGCUAGGGGAGCAAACAGGAUUAGAAACCCGCGUAGUCC
rnacentral:rRNA from 1 species